rnacentral:lncRNA from 1 species
GUCAGUUUUAUAGGACUUUAUAUAACUCUUUAAUGGUCUUUAAGUUGUAAUCAUAUAAUUGGCUUCUAUAAACUACCUAUCAAUUCUUUCAAUUUCAUUACUUCCAUUACAUUUUUUUCAGAUAAAGAUGAACGCUGUGUUUCAUCCAGUACUAAAAAUUUGAAGUUUUGAAGAUACUUGCUAAGUCAGAUCACUUCAAGAAAGUUGCUAUUCACGUCCAGCAUAUCAUAAUGCAGAAUUCUCUCUCAGUACCACCGAAAGAUCAAGGUUGGCAUCUGAUUACCUCAGCUGCACCUCAGAAUCAGUAUCUGCCGAUUAACUCCUACACAACCAGUCUGGUCCAUUUCACAAAGGUAACCACCGCUCAUGCAGUUACCUCAGUACCAGCGAGUGUCUGCUGUUUCGUUGUCUUUCUUUUUUUUUUUCCAGUGUGUCUGUAUUCUAGGUGAUCUCUCUAUAUUAAUCAAGGUGUGUCUUGACUAAGAAAUAAUUCAGUCAAGACUUUGCCAAGCACAAGUUUAGGGAAUAAUUAUCCCCAUGACAAAGGGAUACACAGCUGAGGUAGAGAAAAACUUGCAGCAAAAAGGGUUGUAAAUCACUGUGAGUUGAAGAUAAAUCAGAAGUGAAAACAAAACAUCUGUAAAACCGUACGAUAAAGCAGUGGAACAAUUACUUCAUUUUUAAAAAUGCCGUUUGGAUGCUUCUUAAAAUUUACCCAUUCUAUAAAGUAAAUCUACUCUUGAAAUCACAGUAUAAAACUGUCUUUGUGUUUCCAGUCCCUUGCUUUUAACCAUACUGUGAUCUUUGCCACUUUGGGUUCGUAAAAAUGGUACUUUGAACCAAAGGCAAGAGCCUUCUGCAUGUGUCCCGGUUUAAUUGUUCCAACUGACUGUACAUUCUCAUGUUGAAACCUUAUCUUUCUGUUUAUCCCACUAAGGAAAAGGUUUUCUUCACUAACUGCCAUCUUGUUACUCAUCCCAGAUUCCUAACUAUUCCAACUGAUAUUAAAAUAUGAUUAAAAGGGGCCCAUUUUUAAUUUGCUGGUCGAAGAGUUCUUGCCCUGAGACAUCCGUGUGGCUUACGAAAGUUCGUCUGCGGGAGGGAGAGGUUUCCCUGCCCACCCAUUGUGUUGAAAAACCACUGACUCAGAAAAUGUCAGAAUCUCCUGGAAAGAUGGUGUGCACAGGUAUUUGCUAGGAGGGGAAGGACAUCAAAUGAAGUGAUGUGAUGUUUUUACCUGGAUCACAUUCAGUUUCAAACUGUUCUGAAUUUCAGC